rnacentral:rRNA from 1 species
CUACGGGUCGCACCAGUAGGGAAUAUUGGACAAUGGGCGAAAGCCUGAUCCAGCAACACCGCGUGCACGAUGACGGCCUUCGGGUUGUAAAGUGCUUUUAGAGGAGAUGAGAAAGGACAGUAUCCUCUGAAUAAGCCUCGGCGAACUACGUGCCAGCAGCCGCGGUAAAACGUAGGAGGCAAGCGUUAUCCGGAUUUAUUGGGCGUAAAGCGCGUGCAGGCGGUCUAGCAAGUUGGAUGUGAAAGCUCCCGGCUCAACUGGGAGAGGUCGUUCAAUACUGUUAGACUAGAGAAUAGGAGAGGGAGGUGGAAUUCCGGGUGUAGUGGUGAUAUGCGUAGAUAUCCGGAGGAACACCAGUGGCGAAAGCGGCCUCCUGAACUAUUUCUGACGCUAAGACGCGAAAGCUAGGGUAGCAAACGGGAUUAGAUACCCGCGUAGUC